GUGUUCCUACGGGGGGCAGCAGUGGGGAAUAUUGCACAAUGGGCGCAAGCCUGAUGCAGCGACGCCGCGUGCGGGAUGGAGGCCUUCGGGUUGUAAACCGCUUUUGUUCAAGGGCAAGGCACGGUCUUUGGCCGUGUUGAGUGGAUUGUUCGAAUAAGCACCGGCUAACUACGUGCCAGCAGCCGCGGUAAUACGUAGGGUGUAAGCGUUAUCCGGAUUUAUUGGUCGUAAAGGGCUCGUAGGCGGUUCGUCGCGUCCGGUGUGAAAGUCCAUCGCUUAACGGGGGAUCCGCGCCGGGGACGGGG
rnacentral:rRNA from 1 species